CCUAUUUGAACUGCAGCAGCCAUCACUGACACCAACGUUUGUGAUCUGAGAUGCAGCCUCCUCUUUUCUUUCUUUUAUAUUUUUCGGGAUUUUUUGUUUUUUGAAGAUGAUCAAAAGAAUCAGAAUUACAGGGACCUUCCUCACCUCAGAUGCGCAGAGUUAGGAAUGAGAAUUCCAGAUCCAACAAGAAGCUUCCAGAAGAACAUGUGGAAGCAACCACCUGAAAGAGUCCACUCAAGACCUUCCACCUGUAGCCUCAUGUGCCUGAUCUUCGAACCAUUGCAUUUGGGCUUUCUCCUGGCCUUGAGUCAGUUUGCUUGUUGAUAAACAUUUACCCAUCUGCUCCACAGUGGAUUUCUUCUGGACCCUGAAAG